GAUGCAUACAAAUUAGUGCGCCAUUGGACCUAUUUGAUAAUUUCUGCAUAAGCGAGGCUCACGUUGCCUAGGUAUUAUGUGGGUCUCACUUUUUUGUGAUUUUUUUCUUUCUAUAAAGGUGAAACUCUCCGUAUUUUGUUUGAAUUUGAUGGGGAUGUUUUCAGAUUUGUCACCUUUCUUUGUCACUUGAGCCCAUUUUUGCGAUAUUCCCUUUUCUUAAAAUGUAAAAUGGACACUCUCCGUAUUCUCUUUGGUCAAACAAAAUUUGAUGUUAACUGUAAUUUCAAUCUAUGAACGAACAAGUUUCCCAUCCAAUUGAGAAAAUAGUCGGCACAUGGAAAGCUCCAGAUUCCAGCAUGUAUAGAUGGUCAUUUUUUUGUGUUAGUUGUAAUUUCAAUCUAUGAACGAACAAUUUUCCCAAAUUUUUUGAUGGACCAAAUUUAGAAGGAAAAUUCUUUUCUACUAAAAUUUUCAUACAAAUUCACUUAAUUAGAAUGAUGUGGUAGUAAAUUUUUUUGAAAUUUAGAAUCAUCUUGGUGGGUUUUUUUUUUUUUUUUUUAAUGAUAAUUUGAGAAUUCAACUAUAUUGUUCUGUACGUAUUUUUUUAUUUGUAUAUCAUUACUCAAUUUAAAAAUGAAGUUGUAAGGAUUGGAGUUAAUUGUUAGGGACUUUGAAAGGAGAUAACUGCUUUGGUGUCUAAAAGAUUUUGGAAUGUAGUGGAGAUAGAUCAUGUGGAGGAACUGAAUUCUUGGAAUCAGUGGUGAACAUCAAUCAAAUUGGGAUUACACUACAUAAUAAGAAAUAUACAUGUUACUUUAAGCCUAAACAGAGCCAGACUAGCAUCAACCUAAUUUAGUCAUUCAAAAUUUAGCAGAAAAGAAUUAUUAAAUCCAAGUCCACCCGCUUAAUAUAUAUUAACUAUUAUCGUCAACCCACUAAUUUAGUCACACUUUGAAUAGAUAUUUAUAUUUGAGCCUAAAAAAAUUAUUAUGUUUAUUCUUUUAUUUCUAAACAAAUAGAGUUAUACAUCAGAGAAAAAGAGAUUAAACACAGAAUAAUUUAUUGUAUUAAUAAUUGUUUGGUCUUGAAAUAUUUGGUUUUUGUUAGGUUUUGCAUUUAUUAGAGGAAGAGGAGUCAUUCGUUUGCUAUGAACUUGAGGACACAAUGUUGGACAUUCAACUGAUGUUUUUGAAGGGAAUCCUGAUGAAGUGGUUGAUAAUUACAGUGGUAGAAGAGAAAGGAGCAACAGAGAACCAGGUGUAAGAGAGUAAUACAUCAACAAGUGAACAUGAAAUUAAGAAUGCUUAGACCAGGAUGAAUCUUUUAGGUGUUGCAAUAGACAAUGAAGUCAUGGAAAUAAGGGAUUCUUCCAACAGCUUAUUUUAGGGUUUUGUUUACGGGUCAUUUGUUUGCAGGUCAUUUUUUCUCUCUAUCUAAUUUUUUGGCUUGCUAAUCAAACAGCUUCUGUGAACUAGUUGUUGGCCUAGGUGUCUCAACCCGCUACGGUGCCUCUGUCCUCCACCGUCGAGAAUAUGAUGAGUUAGCCACCAUGUCUUCCCAAAGCAAACGUAGAGAAUCCCUAAUUUGAUGAAACUGUAAAUCUUCAAUUUUUUUUCCAACACUGUUGGCAACAGAUGACGUCUAUGGUCUCCAAGUACUGAUAUAGUUAAAAUUUGAAGUAUAUUUCCACUAUAUUUUGCGAAAAAGGGAUUGUAAUCUUUUCAAUUUAGUACAGAUAUGCAGGGAUAAGGAUGCUAAACCUCAAAAAUGGGAAUUUGUAGCACCAUUGAAAGGGUUAGUGAAUAGAAUCUUCACAGAAUUGAUUUGUUUCAAAGGGCCCUGCUAGGAUUCGUUCUCAGUUAUUAAAAUAAAGUAAAAAAUAAAAAAUAAAAAAAAGAAGAAAAAGAAGAAGAAAAGUUUAGAUAGUUCUGCACAAUAUUAGACACCUUUAUUGGAUGUAGUCUAAGUAUUGUAACAUGCUUUUUGUGAUUAUGCACUGAAGUUACAUGAAAGAGACCAUAUAUUACAUUUAGCUACUAGCCUACUACAAUUUGAUGUAGAAUGAAUAUUUUACUAUAUUAUUAGUAUUUUCUAACUUUCAGAGCAUUUAUAUUGUAGAAUGAAUAUUUUACUAUAUUUUUCAUUCAAAUUUUAAUUUAUUGUUUUUUUGUUUUGUUUUUUUUAAUUGUUGGGUUUUGAUUGUUGUGAAAUAGUAAAUCUACAAUUUUUUUUGUUCCAUAUAAUUUAUUAUUUUUGUUUUUUUUUAAUUGUUGGGUUUUUUUACAGUUUAUUUAUUAUUAUAAUUUUUUUCAUGAUUUUGCUGUUCAAAUUUGGUACCACUGUUCAAUUUCAUGAUUUUGUUAUUUUACUAUGAAGUUGAGGGCUUAGUUGAAGUGCUCUGUUUCUAUAAAUUUUCAGAAUUUGGAGUUUAUUCGGUGUAUUUAGUUUCAUGUCUUCAUUUAGGAAAUCGUCAGGUUUGGUAUCAAGAUCACUGACAUUUGUAUGUGUAUGAAUUUUUUUGUUCAUGUCUUUGUUCAAUUUCAUGAUUUUGCUGUGAAAUUUGGCUCUUUUUUCCCAGAUUUCUUUAUUCCAGCCACAAUCACAUCAUCGGUGUACCGCUGUUCAAAGAUUUCUUUGUUCCAGCCACAACCACAUCAUCGCUGUACCACUGUUCAAAGUUUGAAGUGUUGGUAUAGGGUUUGCUGACUUCUUUCAGGUAUAAUUUUUUGUAUGUGUAUGAUUUUUUGAGGGCUUAGUUGAAGUGCUGGUAAAGUUGGUGUUUUCUGAAUUUAGUUGAAGUGCUUGGUUGGAUUUUCUAUAAAUUGGUGUAUUGAGUUCAAUGUCUUCGUUUAAGAAUUUUUUUUCUUCCUGUGAAUUCACUCCCUACUCUUUGAAAAGAAAAAAAAAA